CCUAAGACUGUGUGCUUGCCCCAGCAGAAGAGCUGUCGGCGACAGCUGCUUCAGUCUCUGGCAUCUCAGCCUCCCAGCCAAUUAACUCUGGGAGCUGCUGGCCAAGUAAAUCAAAGGGCAGGAAACAGCUAAAAUUAGAUGUGGAAGGGAGAUGAAACCAUAGCUCUUUUGAACUCAGAAGCAUCCUUUAAGCCAACAGCAUAAGGAGUUCCUGGUGUCCUGGUGGCCAGAUCUUCUAGUGUCUCCUUGGCAUAGCCACGGGCCUCCACGUUGAUGGACAGACAUGGAGCACAUGGGAUCAACUGUUCUGACACCUCUGGGAGAGGAAACUUGGAGAAGAAUCCCUCCCUUGUGCUCACUCCUCUCUGAGAAAAG